rnacentral:rRNA from 2 species
GACGAACCGAGCGAACGUUGUUCGGAAUCACUGGGCUUAAAGGGCGCGUAGGCGGCUUGCCAAGUCCGGGGUGAAAUCCUGCAGCUUAACUGUAGAAGGGCCUUGGAUACUGGCAAGCUCGAGGGAGGUAGGGGUAUGUGGAACUUCCGGUGGAGCGGUGAAAUGCGUUGAUAUCGGAAGGAACGCCGGUGGCGAAAGCGACGUACUGGACCUCUUCUGACGCUGAGGCGCGAAAGCUAGGGGAGCAAACGGG